GGGUAGAUGAUGUGCGCACGCCGUGUUCAAGGGGUGGUGUCAUGCUCUGAUCCACAGCAGCAUAGCGUCCAGGGAAUGCACGGGCUGUGGCUGCUGUGUGAGUGCCUCUGGGAUCCCCUGCAGCCACAGCAGAGAGCUCAUCUUGAUGCACUCUUCGGCAGGCCAAAGGGCACAGCAGCGGCAGGAUGACCUGAAGGCAGGAUGAAGCCAGCUGCGGACCUGCGCCUCUGAAGCUGUUGCCUGAUGGCGCAAGAAACCGUCUUGAGGCUGCGGCUGCAUGGGGGGAGUUCAGAUGCGUCCGUGUGGCUGGCUGACUGUAGCAGGAAUCCUCUGUUGUGCGUCUGCUCACAUCAGCCUCAAAU
rnacentral:lncRNA from 1 species